rnacentral:tRNA from 1 species
GCCUGGGUGGCUCAGUUGGUUGAGCAUCCGACUUUAGCUUGGGUCAUGAUCUCGUGGUUCAUGGGUUCAAGCCCCAUAUCGGGCU